UGUUCUUUUUGUUUUCCUUUGGGUUUUUCUAAAUCUCAAUUGAGGUGUUAAAAGUAGAGAAUUUGGGUUAGAAGAGACUCAAGACGGCUAUUAAAGGUCUUUGUCCCCUGUUUUCUUUUGCCUUUAACCAGUUGAUGACUUCGCAAAUGGGCUUUGCUAGUUUAUAAAAAAGCAAAAUUUGUAUUUUUUGAAUUUUAAUUUUAAGAUAACCGACUUUUUAUUCAUAAGCUUCGUCGCAAUAACUCAAGUGGAAAUAUCACCUUAAAAUAGUUUUCCUGUUUUUCUUCUUUUUCAUUUCCAGAUCAGAAAAAGUUGAUUGGCAAAUUAUUUCAACUGUGAAAAGCUAUAUACUUGAAUUUCAUUUUAAAAUUUAAACUGGGACCCUUUUCUCACCCUCAUUUUUCAGCGAUCGAUCACGCAUCAGAAGAGCGAGAGAUUCAUCAGCCGCAGAGCAGAACAGAUACCAAAGUUCCCAACAAUCAUCUAGACGAACACCGCCGCAAACAUGGACUCCAGAUCGAUUUUUUCCUUUCUAGGAAGUUUGGCGCUCGUUUUGCAGUUUGUUUUCGUGACGUCAGAAGCCAACUUUUUACCCGCGACAGCCGGCAUGGUCAACGAUAUCACGAAUAAACGAAGCUACCAGUUCCUCAUUCCGGAAAAAAGGAGCUACCAGUUCCUCAUUCCAGAGAAGAGAAGUUAUCAAUUUCUCAUCCCAGAGAAACGGAGCUACCAAUUCCUGAUUCCGGAAAAACGAGCAGUUUAGUUCAUCAUCAAAACCUAAUCUUUGGCUUAAUAUCACAACCAUACGGUUUUUCAUGGUGUUUGAGUGGUCCUUAAUGAAAGCUUAACUAGAAAAUGUAAAAAACAAAAUUGAUAAACCGAAAAUUUUUUGAAACAAAGCCUUUAACAUAAUGAGAAUGAAAAACUAUAUUCCAGAAUUCUUUCUGCUUCUGUUAACUUAUAUUUUGGACCACUUCAAUUUUGCUGCUCUACAUUGUCAUAUGAAGUGUUGUAAAAAUUUUGCCAAAAUUAAAUUGACUUAUCAGCCGGUGUGUCAUCUUUUAUCGAUCUUUUAAUUGAAUCUCGAAACUA